UACCAGCACCCCGAGUGGUCGGGACGAUUAUUGGGCCUAAAGCAUCCGUAGCCGGUCCUGCAAGUCUUCCGUUAAAUCCAGCUGCUCAACAGAUGGGCUGCGGAGGAUACUACAGGGCUAGGAGGCGGGAGAGGCAAGCGGUACUUUAUGGGUAGGGGUGAAAUCCGUUGAUCCAUAGAAGACCACCAGUGGCGAAGGCGGCUUGCCAGAACGCGCUCGACGGUGAGGGAUGAAAGCUGGGGGAGCAAACCGG
rnacentral:rRNA from 1 species